rnacentral:rRNA from 1 species
GACGAACGCUGGCGGCGUGCCUAAUACAUGCAAGUCGAGCGGACCAACCAGGAGCUUGCUCUUGUUUGGUUAGCGGCGGACGGGUGAGUAACACGUGGGUAACCUGCCCGUAAGACCGGGAUAACUCCGGGAAACCGGAGCUAAUACCGGAUAACACCGAAGACCGCAUGGUCUUUGGUUGAAAGGCGGCUUCGGCUGCCACUUACGGAUGGGCCCGCGGCGCAUUAGCUAGUUGGUGAGGUAACGGCUCACCAAGGCGACGAUGCGUAGCCGGCCUGAGAGGGUGACCGGCCACACUGGGACUGAGACACGGCCCAGACUCCUACGGGAGGCAGCAGUAGGGAAUCUUCCGCAAUGGACGAAAGUCUGACGGAGCGACGCCGCGUGAGCGAAGAAGGUCUUCGGAUCGUAAAGCUCUGUUGUUAGGGAAGAAGAAGCGCCGUUCGAACAGGGCGGCGCGGUGACGGUACCUAACGAGAAAGCCCCGGCUAACUACGUG